rnacentral:rRNA from 1 species
GACGAACGCUGGCGGCGUGCCUAAUACAUGCAAGUUGAGCGCUGAAGGUUGGUACUUGUACCAACUGGAUGAGCAGCGAACGGGUGAGUAACGCGUGGGGAAUCUGCCUUUGAGCGGGGACAACAUUUGGAAACGAAUGCUAAUACCGCAUAAAAACUUUAAACACAAGUUUUAAGGUUGAAAGAUGCAAUUGCAUCACUCAAAGAUGAUCCCGCGUUGUAUUAGCUAGUUGGUGAGGUAAAGGCUCACCAAGGCGAUGAUACAUAGCCGACCUGAGAGGGUGAUCGGCCACAUUGGGACUGAGACACGGCCCAAACUCCUACGGGAGGCAGCAGUAGGGAAUCUUCGGCAAUAGACGAAAGUCUGACCGAGCAACGCCGCGUGAGUGAAGAAGGUUUUCGGAUCGUAAAACUCUGUUGGUAGAGAAGAACGUUGGUGAGAGUGGAAAGCUCAUCAAGUGACGGUAACUACCCAGAAAGGGACGGCUAACUACGUG